UGUAGCCUGCAGUCCAGCCCCGCUCCAGCUUGGGGCUCAUCUGGGGGAAAGUAUUUAAGCACAGGCGCCUGCCCCUGCUAGGGCAUUGAAACUCUUGGUCUUAGCGGUUCCAACAACAGUGAACAUGGACUUCAAGCUGCUGGCGGUGAGAUUCCUGUCUUGGGGGGAAACUUCAGAUGGUAAGCUCUGUCCCGGGGUUUGGAAGAAUGGCUCUGUCUCUCUCUCCCUCCCACGUACCCUCUGUGGUUGCCAGAGGGCAGGCUGAGACCAGCCUACAGCACACAGGACAGAUCAGGCCACCAAACCAGUCUCCCUUGGUCUACAAGAUCUUGGCAUUACUUAAAACCAAGACAUUUCAUGUACAUCUCCAGGUUGCUGGCUUUUCUUGGAAAAGUAUGAAGCUCUGGCAGAGUUUGUACGUGACAGCUCCCGGUGGUCCUCAGGAUCCCAGCACCAGCCUCCUUCCCCUCAAUUGUCAGCUGUAACCAUCAAGGUGCCCUGGCGUAGGGGUCUAUUGCCUUACGAAUAACCAAGGACCUGGAAGAAAGCUGCUUCUAUCCACAGAAGGAGGACGUGAGUUGGCCUGAGAAUUGGAAGGGAAUGUUAAGAGCGUUCUGUGUUGACCCAAGAAUGUGCUGAUGGGCAAUGAGGUGAUAAAAAACUAUUAAAAAACAACUAAGAAUUUAAAUAUGAUGGUGGAAAAUUGCCAAGGGGAUUGGCCCUCCAGUUCCUGAACAGUGUACGAAGAAACAAUAGCAUAGCUUCCCACGAUGGCUGCUUCCACCAUAACUUUCAUCUGAUGCCUGAUUCAUUUGAUACUCUAGAAAACAGGUUUGAAAACUCAAUGCUGAUAGCAUUUUGCCUCCUUGAUGCGUCCUGACUGUACCAAGCCCAGAUUAUUGAAGGUAGGUAUUGCUCACACUUAAUGGAAUCUCACUUAAUAUGUUCACAACAGAUAACAGUGGUGAUUGAAGGAACUUUUCCAAGAGUAUGGAAGGACACUAACCAUCUAAUAGGAUGGAUAACACAGAGAAGCUAAAAUAUGGGGACAUGUCCUGAAACAUGUUGAGCUGGUACCAGCCUCAGCAACACUCCAUGGAGAAA